rnacentral:lncRNA from 1 species
AUACGAUAUACACACACAUUUAAGCUUUAAUAUCCACGUAUAUCUUCAACUUGAUUUAUGGAUUACGAUUAUAUAGAUGUUAAACUGUUAACUAAAUAGUAUCAUUGUUUGUUGUUCCAUGUGAUGAUUCUCUGUUCGUUCGCUAAUUUGUGUGCUGUUCCUCCAAUAGAUGGGAGUAUCUAACAGAAGCAAAGAAACAUAAGUGACGGAUCCAUUGAUUUUCUUAAAAAUUGUGAAACCUCGGACAAAGGAAGAGAACUUCGUUAUUUUUCUAAAUCUGUGUAAAAAAUGAUGAGGUUUGAAUUUUUUUUUUCUUACUAGAAGACCAUAAAGACUGACACGUUCACUGGCAUAUCAAAAUUAUUACAUGUGACGACUAUAUUUUAGGGAAGCUUCGCUAGCUCGUUAGCCAAAACUAAUGCGAUGUUUUUUGACCUUUUUUACUAAAAAAAAAGCAAAUGAUGUUUUUUUUUUACUUGAGGAGGCAAAAACUAUAGUUGAGCUGAUGUGGUAGAAAAUAAGUUAAACUGUCAAUCAGGUAUUAAGUUAUAAAGUGAACCUUCAUCAACAAAAUAAAAACUGAUAUAAAUCAUUCAGCUAUUAGCAUUAAAAAUUCAAAUCUAAUCUUGUAAACAAAAUCAAAUUAGAUUGAAUCCAUAUAUGCAUAUAGGGGAAUAUUUCAAAUCAUUUAUAGUGGAAAUAGCGUGAGCUUCGCUUAUUGUACUUGUUUACCUAACAUCUUACUAUUAUUAACCAAAUAUGUGAAACCUCCAAAAACGACGAUGAAUUUUCUGCGAUCCUUUUGACCAAUUAAAUUUUCAAAUAUUGGUAGAACUUAACCAGCAGUAAUUUCAUACGUAAUCAACAUCGUUCAAUUUAGGUUAUAUAAACAUUCUAACUAAAUAUGGUAAUAUACUGAGCCACUGCUAUUUAAUUAAAUUAUUUGUAACGGCGAUUACCUUUAUAAAAAUUUAAGAGAUCAAUGCUUCACCCGAGUAGACAACCGAUUUUUAUGUUUAGUAGCUAAUAUACCAAUUAGUUAUCAUGUAAUAAUAAAAAAAAAUUCCUGACCGUGAACAUGAACUAUAACAUUUGAAGAAAAAAACUGAAUUCGUUUUUUUUAGGCAACAAAAAACUGAUUUCGUUUGAAUUUGAAAUAUCAAGCUCUUUGGAAAGCAAAGAAUAAUAUAGUUAUUAAAAAGUGAAAAUAAUUGAACUUCUAGUGGUCCAACUGUUACAAGAAGAUUUCCAUUCUGAGGUAUUAACUAAAAUUACGAGAACAUAGUUAUCAUUUUGCUCCAUCAAAAUUGACAUCAUUUUUAGUUUAUUUAUUUCUAAUUUCUAUUUCUAAAAAUUUAUCAUUUGUUGUACUACUUACUUAGUACAGUCGAGAAACAAUAAUUAAUGAUAUUUAAUCAAUCACCAUUUUAACCUAAAAGGGUUUUACCUAUUUAUAUAUAUACACACAUAUAUAUAUAUAUAUAUAUAUAUAUAUGACACGUUAUCGUGUACGAUACAAUAUAUUCCUUUGAUAUACUUCAAAAAGUUACUAGUUCCUGAUAAGAGAAGAAAUCAGAAUCAAGAAAAAGGAGAGAGAAAAUAUGGGAAGAGGGAGAGUGGAGAUGAAGAGGAUAGAGAACAAAAUCAAUAGGCAAGUGACCUUCUCAAAAAGAAGAAAUGGUUUGUUGAAGAAAGCUUAUGAGCUCUCUGUUCUCUGUGAUGCUGAAGUUGCUCUCAUCGUCUU